AUAAGCCUAGGAAACUGGGUCUAAUACCGGAUAUCACUGCCUGCUUCAUGGUGGGUGGUUGAAAGCUUUUGCGGUUGGGGAUGGGCUCGCGGCCUAUCAGCUUGUUGGUGGGGUAAUGGCCUACCAAGGCGUCGACGGGUAGCCGGCCUGAGAGGGCGACCGGCCACACUGGGACUGAGACACGGCCCAGACUCCUACGGGAGGCAGCAGUGGGGAAUAUUGCGCAAUGGGCGAAAGCCUGACGCAGCAACGCCGCGUGAGGGAUGACGGCCUUCGGGUUGUAAACCUCUUUCAGCAGGGACGAAGCGAGAGUGACGGUACCUGCAGAAGAAGGACCGGCCAACUACGUGCCAGCAGCCGCGGUAAUACGUAGGGUCCGAGCGUUGUCCGGAAUUAUUGGGCGUAAAGGGCUCGUAGGCGGUUUGUUGCGUCGGGAGUGAAAACUCGGAGCUUAACUCCGAGCUUGCUUCCGAUACGGGCAGACUAGAGGUAGGCAGGGGAGAGCGGAACUCCUGGUGUAGCGGUGGAAUGCGCAGAUAUCAGGAAGAACACCGGUGGCGAAGGCGGCUCUCUGGGCCUAUUCUGACGCUGAGGAGCGAAAGCGUGGGUAGCGAACAGGAUUAGAUACCCUGGUAGUCCACGCCGUAAACGUUGGGCGCUAGGUGUGGGGGGACAUUCCACGUUCUCCGUGCCGCAGCUAACGCAUUAAGCGCCCCGCCUGGG
rnacentral:rRNA from 1 species